GAGUGACCCUGGGCACAGGUGGCCACACCAUGGGCCACUCUGCAGCUGUCCAAAGGGGCAAUUUGGAUGUGGGACAGAAGACAGGUGGCCCCGGGGGCAGUGUGGACAGUCCCCUGGAGAUGCAUGAGGGCCUUUUGUUGCUGGGGACUCUGGGGGCUCCAUGCUGGCAGGGCCACCAAGCAGGCAGGAGCGCGGUGACAAUGGCUGGGAACCUUUUCUCUUUGCGUCCUCCUGCACCAUGUGGGUUUCACACCGCGAGUGACUUCAGUAGAAGGUGGCCACAUUUUCCUUAGACAUUUCUAAGGAGGUCCUGGGACAGAAUGACUAUGACAAAGGGUCUGUCACAUCCCUCCUGGAGAGAGUGGCUGGUGCUGUGCUCAAGGUUCAAAGCCCCACCUCCCACAAAGCCAGGGGCUCCCCGGCCACUGAACGUGACUCUGCGCCAACAGGAUGAAAUCUCUUUGGCUCCCUCAGGCCUGGAGGGGACCCCCAGGGCCCAGCCUCUGUUUUCUGGAAUUCAGCCUCCAUCUCCUGGGGCCUGGCUUAUCCAUCUGGGCUUCCUCAGACCUACAGGUCCCUGGGUCCCCUUGGCCAGACACAGGGGAACCAGGGCCACCACCUAACUUCCUGUUUAGGACUCCACAAUGACAUUUUCAUCUUAAAGGCCACCUUCUCACACCUGUCCCCUCCCCUGCCAGCCCUGGGCAGAGGCUGGUCCUAAAACACCUUGGGGAAAAGCAGACAUUAGGCCUCUACCACAGUUGGGAUCUCUCCUCUGGGACUGGUGGGGGCCUCCCCUCUGUCACUGUCCCCAGGGCCUGCCCACUGCACUCUGACUGCCCCAGCUCCUCUUAGGGGACUCUUACAUCCCUUUAUCUUGAGACCAAAAAGCCAGACCUUCAAAGCCAGAGGGUCCUCCAGGCACCACGUACCAAGGCCCAUGCUAAGGGGGCCUGAGGCGGGGCUAGGGGACCAAGACCGAGUCCUGUCACACUUAUGGGGAGCCAGGGGCUCCUGAUUCCCAGUCCUCCUUCCGGUCACUCCUGCAGCCAGUGAGUCUGUGGAGAGCCCGGCUGAGGGGUCCCGAGGUCACCUGAGGUCGCAGGAGCUUGUCAGCACAGGCUGAGACUAAAUAUGCUAAUCCACACUAAUAUGCUAAUGUCCGGGGUGUGUUUUCCAAAAAGUGCUUUCAAGAAAAAGUAGGGGAGUGUAGGGGCCUUUGGAGCAGGGCCACCCCGGGGUGGCUGCAGCUGACAAAGAGCUGGGCCACAUGCUCACUGACAGCAGAGACUCUGAGGUCCACAGCCCCCAGCCCCCUGCCUGGCCCUGGGGUUGGGGGAGCUUUGAGGGACCCGUGGGGAACCCAAAGACCAGGCUGGUUCAGCCUGCGGGGAGCCGUGGCCGGGCAGCUGCUACGGGGACCCCUGAAAAUCUUGCCCUGAGUCUAAUGAACAGCCAUUGAAGCCCUCCGCCCAGGUGACAUAGGACAGAAGAAAAAAUAAUAAUAAUGAUAAUCAGUAGGGAGGCCCAGAAGGAAGAACAAAGAAAAUAUCAAAAGUGUGACUGAAGCUCAAGUUCAGCAAACUCUCUGCCUCUCCAAGCCACUUCUCUGUCUCCCAUUCACUCAGGAAAAUUGUCCUGGUUGGGUGCAGUGGCACACACCUGUAACCCAGCGACUUGGGAGGCCGAGGCAGGAGGAUCGCAAGUUGGAGGCCAGCCUCAGCCACUUAGCAAGGCCCUCAGCAGCCCAGGGAGACCCUGUCUCUAAAUAAAAUACAAAAAAGGGCUGGGGACAGGGCUCAGGGGUGAAGCACGCACCCCUUGGGUUCCCCCCCUCAAAAAAAAUUGUCCUGUCCACUAUUAAUAAGGCCACAGACACAUGCAUUUUUAGAAUAGAUUGAGCAAAAGCAGAUAGAUUUUUCCAGAACCCUAAGAUCUGGGACUUUUCUCAGUGUCACCUUGCAGAGAGCGGCUGGGCCUUGCUCUGAGCCACUCCAGGAUGCACAGAGCAGCAGUUUUCAGGCUGGGUCUACACAGGAGGGACUUCAGUUUGGAAAUCAGUGUUUUGCCCUAAGCUACUCCAUUUUGAAAUUUCAGUGCUGAUGUGGAACGACUCCACACCUUGUUUGUGUAAGUAAACAACCACUGUCUGCCUGACACUCACCAUAAGGCACACACUAAACAAAUUAACUGUGCCAAGAAACAUGACCACCUAGGGCAGGGCGGAGUGGUGCACAGCUGUCAGUCCAGCGGCUCGGGAGGCUGAGGCAGGAGGACCACAAGUUGGAGGCCAGCCUCAGCCACUUAGCAAGGGCCUCAGCAGCUCAGCAAGACCUUGUCUCAAACUAAGAAAUAAAAAGGGCUGGCCUCUUUUGUUAAGUGCC
rnacentral:lncRNA from 1 species